rnacentral:rRNA from 1 species
UACAUGGGGUGCAAACGUUGCUCGGAAUUAUUGGGCGUAAAGCGCGCGUAGGCGGUUACUUAAGUUGGAUGUGAAAGCCCUCGGCUUAACUGAGGAAGUGCACCCAAAACUGAGUAGCUAGAGUACGAAAGAGGGUCGCGGAAUUCCCGGUGUAGAGGUGAAAUUCGUAGAUAUCGGGAGGAACACCGGUGGCGAAGGCGGCGACCUGGGUCGAGACUGACGCUGAGGCGCGAAAGCUAGGGGAGCAAACGGG